CGGCCGCCAUGGCCGCCGCCGCCGCCCGCCCGCGCGCGCGGUCCUAGAGCGCGGCCGCCGCCCCAGCGCGGGCACCGGGGCGCCCUCCGCGCCCGCUCCGCGCUGGCUCCGCGCUCUUACUUCUUCUCUCUCCGCGGUCCCCGCGCUCUCUCUGCGUUCUAGCCCCUCUCCUCGCUCCUUUCUCUCUCGCUCCGCAUCCCCCACCCGUCGGGGCGAGGGGAGCGGAGCGCAGCCGCCCCACCUGGGGCACGGCCCCCCCGGUGUAAAGCAGAAAACCGGCGUUCAAACGAAAGAAAACUCCACUGAAUAAAAUAUAAAACCGAGCCCUGCCGGGGGGAGGGGAGCGGCCGCGGCGGCCCCGCCGGGGUCGGGCUGCGCAGGUACGCGGGAUGCCGGUGCCUUAAGGGCUGAUCGGGGGAGACGGGGAGCACCACCGAGAGCCGAGCAUCCCCGUGUCCCGGGGAUCCGGGAGCCGAGCAUCGCCCUCGUCCCAGGGCUCCGGGAGUCGAGCGUCCCCGUGUCCCGGGGCUCCGGGAGUCGGGCGUCCCCGUGUCCCGGGGCUCCGGGAGCCGAGCGUCCCCUCGUCCCGGGGCUCCCGGAGCCGACCAUCCUCGUGUCCCGGGGCUCCGGGAGCCGAGCAUCCCCGUGUCCCGAGGCUCUGAGUGCCGAGCAUCCCCUAGUCCCGGGGCUCCGGGACCGGCUGCUCGCACAGCCCAGUCCCCGCGGGGUACCUCCGCGGCUCCUCCCGAGCUCUCCUGCCCGUGCGGAGCCUCAUGAAGGGCCGAGCGGAGCACGAUUUCUCGCAAGACCCCAUCUCUCCCUUCCCUUUAGCGCGACGGAGGGACCCCCCCCCACACUCCAAGCCGCUCCGCAGAGCGUGACACUCGUAUCUUUCCCCUCGCAACUUCCACAGUAUCGCUAUAAAGCGGCUCGUCUCGACCUUUUCUACUUUAUUUUUGUGGUUUUCGGGUUUGGAUUUUCUUAUUUUGGCUCACACGUCCCCUGACACGGUAACACAACCUCUGUGCCAUAGCGGGAGCACCGCUAAAUAGGUAACCGACCUCUGUCCGCUGGGGUAGCUGUUUAUUUCCCGCUGAACAGAGCUACCGGGCAGCGGAACGGGGACUUGGAGUACAUCUCCUCGUGCAAAUGGCCAAAAGACACUCGAACAGGCGAAGAGACGGGGAAAUAAAAAAGAAAACCUGAUAAAACAGACAAAUAAAUGCCUGGCCGGACCAUUCCUCGCCUGGAAACACGCGUCUAUGUAGGCUCACGUUUGAGCCGGUCACAGAGCACGGGCGUGGGGACACAGAGCGGUGCACAAUUCUGCCAAGGAUUAAUCGCCCCUCACCUCCUCACACACUCUUUUUCAUGUUGCCACAUGAACACCCCCUUCUGCCGCAGGAAUAAUAGAUGGGGCUAAAGCCGCAGGUGCCGAGAUGAUGGGAAAGUUGUAAAAAGCACCUAGACUUGACAAUGUCCUGCUUAGAAACCUGAUGUGUGAAGACCCCACAGACGAAGAUGUACUAUGGCUCAGUUUCAAAGACAAGACUGCAACGUUCCCAUUGAUCCUGACAGAGCAAAAAUAAUCUUUCUCCGAAACGGGGACCAGGAGAGACUGGAAAGGCAGAAAGGGGGAAAGGAUCUUUCCCCGUUAAAAUGUGGGGAACAGCUUUAUGUUUUCCGAAUAACCCAGAGCCGAGGAGGUCACCUUUCGGCGAGGGUGGGAGAAAGUGGGGGGUUCAAAAUGCAGAAUAAGUCACAGAUUGUUGCUGAUGUUGAAUUUCCUGAGGGGGAAAAAAAAAAAUCACCCAGCCCAACACCAACCUUUUCUGUCUUGAAUCUGACAAAGUAAACAAGAUUAAUUCACCAUAUGAAAAAACAUCAAUGCCAUCUUAACAAACGCAGAAAUCAGAAGAGAAAGCGGUUUUAACAGGACGUACAAUAUUAAUAGUUUGAACGUAUGAUCGUAAAAAUGAAAAGCCAUUGAUACACGCUUAAAAGCCGCCGUAUACGCUGAUUGCUCAAGCAUUAAUGAAGAAUGCCCCAGAUUAACUAUUUGCUCUUCGAAGGAUGCAGCAAUAUAACUGUCUAUUAGCACCAUUAGAUGCUUUGCUAUUUAUUUGAAAACACCCCUGCGAGUGGGUUGAGGCAGAACAGAUGAAUGUAAAAAUGAACUGCAGCUAAUUUCGCUAAAUAAUACUCGAAACCUGAGCGCCUCGCAAAGAAUGGGGAGAUUCUCAACUGUCCUUCUCCAAGCCUAAUGACAAUAGAAAUGCUCUUUUAAAAGUAAGACCGUAUUGGUUUUCCAAAUAAACAAAUGCAUCCCUCCUGCCAUUUUACUGCAGAUGUAAAUUUAUUUUAAUGAGAGGGAGUGGAAGGAUUUAUUUUGCUAAAAUAGAGUUGAGGAUAGAGCCGGUGUAAAUCUUUAGGUUUUAAAACAGAGAAGGAAGGAGGGUGAAGCUGCUUUCCUGGCAGAAAGCUGCCUAACAGUCCUCUAAUUCUUUCUAGAUUAAAUCGCAAUAUGAAUACAGCAUCGAACAAAUACCGAGUUUCGCUCUGAACUCAGUGGAAAGCAGUUACGUCUAACAGAAUUCAAUGAAUUCCUCUUCUCCCUCAAUGUAGUAUGUGUGUGUUUUUCUCUUCCACCACACUGAAGUUCCAUGAAUAGGGAAAGUGGCUCCUAUUGUGUGCCUCUGAACUUCCAAGUCAAUGCAAUUUUUAACCACUGGCUUGUGGUACUUUGAAAAUCACCAGGGGCUGUCAGAGUUGGGUCCUCUGAAAAAUUUACAGUGCUAAAUCAGAGCAUAUGCUGUGAGAGAGGAAAAAAAAUUGCUUAAGAUUGGAGCAAGUACAGUAUCCGGCUGCCCCCUAGUGUAAGUCCCUCAUCCGCCUAAAUCCAACUUUAAAAGAAAAGGAUCUCUUAAAGGGAAACGACUUUUGGCUCACGUAUGCGUGCGAGAAUGAAACUUCUGUACAUUUUAAUCUGAUUAAUUCCUAAGGAUUUAAAAUUAAUUGGCUUGGGCACUUCUAGACCGGACUAUAAGAUUUCUGCAUCAGGGUUCCUGCGAGCGCCGUACCGAAUAGGAACGGUGCCUCGCAUGCUGUUGUCAGAGCAAAGCACUUUUGCCGCUUAAAGUCAGAUCUACGUCUUUUGCGAUAAUACUUAAAAAAAAAAAAAAAGGAUAAAUAAUUGCCAUAAAGCCUGAGCCGAACUGCCAACCACACCUUCGGAUGUCAGAAGGCAGAAAUAUGUGAACUGCUGAGAGAGGGGGGUACUUUUUGGAAUGUGCGAGAUGCCCACGUCUAAGACAAUGGUGAGGAUCGGGCCAAAAUCCAGAUCCAGCCUGGAUUCCUCCAACUGAGUAGUCUUAUUUUGACCUACGACUGCUGAUGGAUCACAGCCGUGUGGACCUUUCGCUCUCCUGACUCCUCAGCAUCAGAUCACAAAGAAGGCCUGAGAUAAUGCCGGACGUACCAUCACAAGACCAUAAUUGGAAAGUGUGGGGACCAUGAGUAGAGAGAGAUGGUUGAUGCAGCUGGUUCCGCGACUGGGUGGUGGUUCAGCUCUCAGUUACAAGCUACCAGAGGCUGGAGAAACACCACAGGGACUGUUCCUGUCCUGGCUCUUCCUUCCCAGUCCUUUGAGGUGUAUGAAGCCCCGAGAACCAAGCCGAUGUAUACUGAUUGAAAGCAAUUAAUCAAGAUAGUAGGGAUUAAACAGUAACUCAGAGUUGACAACGACAACGUUAUCAUCCCUGUGGCACAGAAGGGCACAAAAUGGUAGUGGUGACCAGAAACACUGUGAGUAAGAACAAGCUGGCUGGAGCUUAAGGUGGGUUUUAGAGGUUUAUGCAGGUCUAUUGAAAUUCAGGGACAGCUGAUUUUUUGUGUGGGGCAGUGUUUAUCUACCCCUGCUCUUCCCUUUCCCCUCUCAGACCUUCUAGGGUGACCUCCAGAGUGGCAACAACUUUUAAAGCGAUUCCUCUUUCUUCUAGCAGGUUCCUGAUGCUAAAGGUCUGACCUUAAGAUGAGCAGUACCUAAGGCAAGAAUGGGUACUGCAGUUAGCUUCUGGCCUUCAACCCUUGCAAAUACAGCUAUUUUGGUAACCAGAAUACUAUAUUCAUGGUAGCUGAGGGAACAGUCCUCCAGUGAAGGAUUUCUGAGCAUAGUAACUAUAAGUGCUGGUUGCUGUGUCCCUGUGCAGGUUACCUGUCUAUUUAAGACCCUAACUGCAGAUUUGCAGAAAUCUGCAUCUUUCUGUUAACUUCAUGGCCAUGCUUCAGUUCUUGCUGCACCUAAAAACCUGAACCACUCUUGCGGGGGAUUUCCACAUAGAUCUGGGGAGAACUGCAGUCGCGUGCCACUGUGAGUAGCUCAGUCUUGGAUUUCUUGUCCACAGGAGAGGCACAGCCUGGUUUGCUACAGCCAACUGUCCUCAUUAAUGUAUUUCAAGCCCUGAUAGACCAGGACAACCUCACUGGCAAGUUCUUGUUACCCGGCUCCUGCUGACAGCCAGGGAACAGGCACAAGUCAUCCUAGAAAAUGAACGACUAGAAGGCUGAGGUCACAAGCUGAAUUUUGAAGAACCAAAUUUCAUGCGAAGGUGUGACUGGAACAUGAAUACUAUCCCAGGUUUUUUUACAGAUUAAACCAAUGAAUUGUCCUGAAGUCUAGUAAGUACUCAACACCAGCAACUUAUACGACCCCCUGUGCUACUACUGCUGCUCUGAAUUGAUUUAUUUAGUAAUUUAUGACUUCAACUACUCAGACUCAUUCCUUCGUGCUGCUGAUACAAGAAGGUGUGUUUUAAACCAUGCAGCCAUUUCCAUCCUGGAUUUCAUGAGUGGUUAUUCUUGCAUCAGAGGUGAAUCAUUCAAAUGUCGUUCUACAGAUUCCAAGUGAGUUACUAACAUUUAGAUGCUUCCAAGUAAUACACAAAAAGGUGCUGAGAAAAUGACAAGGUUCCACCUAGUCAAAAAAAGCUCAGCAAAAGUAGAUACAACUAAAAUACUUGUAUUAAUGGUCAAAAUCUUUCUCAGGAGAUCUAAGGAGAAAGGGCUUUUGCCUUCAAAAAUAUGUGCCCACUGGGACGCACAGUACUUGCUUUACUGACUGACCCAUCAGCUGCUCUCUGUCCCCAGAAACAGUUCAGGAAAUCACUGAAAAUAUCUGAUGAUAUAAAAAGGAUAAUUAAGUUUCAUGGUGGGAAUAAUAGGGUAAUCUGUCCUGACAAAUCUAGGAACUAGUAUUGAAAACUGUAGUAUCUGAAUAUAAAAAAAGAGUAAUUUUGAAUAAAGAUGUCUAUCAGGACUGUAAAUUCAGAGAAUAAAAAAGUAGCUUUGCUUAACAGACCAUCUCUCUCUCCAUCUUCUUCUAACUCAUUUUCUUGUUCUCUUUCUUCCUUCUGUGUUAUUGCAAAAAAUGUGUGUAAAAUCUGAUAUUGAGAAUGCUUUAGCUUCAUUUCAGUCUGCUUGUCUACAAAAUUUUUUGUUCCACUGUGGAGGUUCCCCCACAAGAUAACCUGAGCCGUCACCUCUCUAGGCUUGUGGGGCCACUUAUUUGCAGAGGGAACAGCUGUAUUUUGAGGAGUCUCUGAGGUAGCCAGCUCCCCACUCUUUUGAGGCUCUUAAAGUUGUCUUUAAACUGGCGUGAGAAAUCACCCGAGACUCAGGCAGACCACGAGGUGGUUAGAACAGUAUUUUCUCCUUGCCUUUUUUUGCUAAGCAGAAUUGCUGCACUAUAAACGAAUGUGAGUUUUGCCUCAUUCUUAGAUACUGUGAGUUAUGAAAGCCCACCCUAGAUGUAAUGAAUGUAUAGAUCAUUUUGACCAGAACAUAAUCUAUCAGUAAACAAUGUUCCCUGAAAAAGUAUAGGCGAAAUAAACUUCUUGCUACUGUUGCUAAAGUGGUAUCAGGGAUUACUGAUGAGACCAACACGAUUCUGAAGAUUUGCGCUACUGAUGUUUAAAUAAAAUUCAGAACUAACUACAGGGUUUGGUGAGAAAAUUCCUUCCUGGAUUAGGAUAUUCAGGAUUUAUCACGUUGGAAACAGAAUCUGAAACCAUACAAAACUUACCUGUAGAAUUUAUCACAAGCCCCAGAUCUCUGUUCACUGACAUGUUCACUAACAUUUAUGAGAUUUUUCCAUUAGGCUUCCCUGCUUUUGGUGGUGAUAUUAAUAAGCAAAUCACACAGCAACUUUCAAAAUAAGAGGGGCUCUGAUGUAGUGAACCCCUUUAGCACCUAUGGCUCACCUUCACUGCCUGUGGAGGACGCCCAAAGGUACUAGGAUAAGGCCUAUGGAAACUUGUCAGCACGGCCUUUUGGCCAUGAGAAGGUUAGUUUUAAAGGAGGCACUUCAGGGACAUCUGUGUGACACACGCUACAGAGUCCAGAGAUUGGAGUCUAUGUAUUUUGCUCUAAAUCUAGAGAGGGAAUCACUAGGAAAAAAGGGAAAGAAGCACGGGGGAAUAAAAGUACUUUUGAAAGAGAAGAAAUCUACAUUUCAAUGAAAAUCCUUUCAAGGCAUUUCAAAUAAGAGUCUGAGAGAAAUAAUUACAAAGUUUGGAGAGAAAGAACGUUAGCUUUGAUAUCUUUUUCUUCUAUGAAGCAAUUAAAAUAAGCAAUUUUUCAAAUACUAAGCAGAAAAUUACUAAUGGCUGAACCCAAAAGCUUUCAUUUCCUUCUUGGGGCCUUUAUUCUUCUAAAAAAAGACAAAAAAAUGUGAAGGUGGUUUUCCAGAUAGAUUAAUGCAUAAAGCAGUCACUAGUUGGAUGUCAUAAAAACUACAGCAGCAUAGAAUAGCCGAGAUUAAGAGCUAGAUUUAAAUCAUGCAACAGUCCAGUUAAUAUCAAUGUCUAAUUAAGAAAUGCAUAAGAAGUCUGUAAUGUUGAUUUGAUGGAGAAAAACUCUAAUAGGGUUUCUUUUGGAAUUUUCCAUUUCAAUUGCUGUGUAGACUUUUAAUGGAUGUCCUAUGCAGUCUUUGGUAUUAGCAGGAAUCAUGCUCAAAUUAAAACCAAGGCCUAAAAUGGAACACAGGUAGACGAAUUAGCUCAUCUAGGGAGCAGUCUGGGUAGAAUGACAAUGUGAGAUCAAGUAGAAAUUUUAGUGCAAAUAAAAGAGAACAAAUGUCUCAAAACUGGCCUGGAAACCCUAUCUGCUUACUGUUUUAAACAAUUGAAACCCCUGUAAUUUUAAACAAUGCCAUGUUAACCCAUUUCCCCACCUGUCUAAGCUUGCUGAAAUCCCUGACAAUUCAUAAGUAGAAAUCCAGACCUCUAAGCACUAUUAAUUAGUCUUUUUAACUAGGAAGGCUUUCUAUAGUUAUGCAUAUUAGUAGUAUGUAGAGGUGGGCUCUUCUUUGCUUGCAAUGGGAUUUGCAGCCCACAGUUCCCUAUCACUAUCAAUUAAUACCAUUAAUCUCCCACUCCUCCCUGGGCAACUAAAGCUCUUCAACUCUUUGAGCAAAACUAAACCUGCGGUAUCCACUGUGUCACACACUGUCCGGAACAUUUGGUCUAUAGAUAUGAAAGGGGAACCGGUUUUAUACUGCAUGUGAGAAAUGCCCUAUAGUUGUUGAACUAGGAGCACUGUAACUGUUAGUAUGAAAAAAUCCACAUUGCAAAGAGGGAGAAUGCAUAGCACUGGAUUAAAACAGCAGUGUAUUUGUUAUCACUACUUUAUUGUUGACCCAACAAAUCCAAAGGGAAUUACCUCAAGAAUCCAGGAAGAGAGCAAACUCAAAAUAACCCUUCUGACCCAGGCAGCAAGCACACUGGGGAGUAAUUUUUAAGUUCAUUAGAACACAUGAAAAUACAGUACAUUGGCCAUGGUAAAACAAGGCAUACGAUCCCAUCUGUCUACAUGUUUCUUUCCAGUUCUAAAUCCAUCCAGAGACCUUUCAGAAUUAUAUUAUUAGUCUUGCCAAUUCACUUAGCAAACUGAGUGGAAAAGACUGGAGGUAAAAUCAGGGUAAGAGCGAAAGUUCAGCACUUCCGAGUCACCGUCAUUGUUUGAAAUGUCGUGGUCCAAAUUCAUACCUGGCAUUACUCCAUUGAUCAAUGAGGCACAAACCCAUCAUAUCAGAAAGAGAUACCGUCUCCCUAGGAGAUGCUCCAAGGAUUUUUCUCCUUGAAGAAGAUGGGAACUAGGACAUUCUGCCCUCUGAGUGAUGCAGAAGGUCUAAUGUGGGAACAUUCAGGUCAUCACAGGAAUCUGAUGGUUUUGGCUCCCUCUUGACUGUGUGACUGAGGAGGCAUCAUGAGUAAAGAUGCAUCUAGAUGAUUGUUUGAAUGGAGCAUUGCUUCAGUGGGGUUGUUGGAUUUAUGAAAUACUUAGAAAAAAGAAUACGAAACAGGCUGCCUUUUGCAAAAACAUGUAACAGACAAAAAGAAACAAACUUUAACUUGUCCAGAAUGCUUGAGAGCAACAAAUUCUGUUACAGUUUUGCUAAAGGAGAGGAAAAUUUCCUCCUUCCCUCCAUAAAACUAUCCUUUUAGACAUUACUGCAGUCAUGACCUCACCAAAGUCCCUGGAUUCUUUCUAAAAAGAUUAAAGUGAACUAAUACACCAGUGAUCUCAUCACAGCGUAAAGGACAUCUUACAUGAUGUGGGGGGGAAAUCAGGAGAAUUUCAGUGCUUCAUUUACAUGAAGAGUAGAAAAGGCACUAUAACAUCAUAGUGGAGAAACACUAAAGGUACAAUUCCAGGAGGCAUUUUUCAAUCUUCUUAUAAACUACUUGGGCUCGUCCUACCUGAUCUUGCCUGUUGUAUCUGUCAUCCUUGUGGCUGUCUCCACAUCUAUUCUCUUUCCUUUUUUUUUCCUGCCUUGAUCUAUACCUUCCCUUAUCUUUUCUGUGCCUUUCCUACAUGUUUUAAUGUAUCAAAUUAUUUUGAAUCACAUGCACUACUAUUGUCAACUACAUCCAAAAUACAUUUUGCAGAGUAUAUAAAUAAAAUCAUGUUACACAAAAGUAUUCACAAAUUCUUCAUCUUUUGCUUAAAUUAUUCUUGGUAAAAAUGGCUUUCCUACAUGUAUAUACAGUUCUCAGGCCAAGGGGUCAUGGAUUAGUGCAGCUUUCAUCUACUUUGAAGCUGUUGUGUCUUCUCACAGAAAUCAGGAGGAUAAGUAGGGAGAGAUGUUUUAUUUUCUUUGGUAGGAGAACCUAUAGAUUAGUAUUCAUGCAAUUGAAAAUCCCCUCCCCCUUUCUAAUGUUAUAUCCUAUUCUGAGGUUGGAAAUAUCUUCAGAACGUGAUGAGUAGAGUGCUAAUAAUGUAAUCUUAUCACUUGUACCCAUAGGUAUGUCACAGCUCUGCCCUGAAAUUACACCAUUAAGCAAUGAGGUGACAAACUGGUUUCCUUUCUCAAGCCAAAUGUCAUGUAACUGUCCAGAGGACUGUUUUGGUGGUGGUAGCAUCCCCUGACUUUUGAAGGAGACCAGUGCCAGUGUGACCCAUUCCCAGCCUGUAUGCUUGGCAGGAGGAAACAAAACUGCUGUUUUUCCUCUGUGACUUUUCUCAGCUAUGAAGAAAGCCACGAGGCAUCAGACUGCAGGCUGGGAGGCAUCAGAGCACCCACUUGUUAGACAUUGAGAAAGAAACCUCCAAAAAACAUGAAGUGGAGGUGAAUUCUCUAAAUUUGCUAAAGCAAACUGGUAUAAAGGGUGAUGGUGUUUUUCUGUCUAGCCAACAAUAUUUGUUACCCCUAGAUGAGGCAGCAAACGUAUCCAACCCCGUAUACUCUGCGGUUGAUAGAUCUGCUUUAGUGAGGAGAGGUCCAUUCUGUGAUGAGUUUUAUAGGAUAAUACAUACUGCAGCAUUAGGAGAAGCCAAAUGGAGCUUCUCCUCCAAGGAGCAAUACAGAGCAUCUGUUACAAAGAAAAAAGUAGUGGGUAAAAAGGUGGUAUAAUUCUUGACCCCAGGAGUCCGUCUGGAGUUGGAGAACUCUGGACAUUCAGCAAGAUCUCAUCCUCCCACAGAUUUACCAGGUCAGCUUAGUUCAGGCCAAAACAGUGGGGCAAGGUCCAUGAAUCUACUCUAAGUUCAUUCAUCUAUUGAUUGUGAAGAGGUGUUUAUCAGGAUCUUGAACUGAGGCUGGCCUACCAGCUGAAGCUGUACAAACAAAGAUAUAUAUUCCCCAACUAUAGAUAAAACCAGUGGCAAUCAAUCAUCACUUCUGAGUGAAGAAGAGAUAAACUCUUUGAGGUAAGUUCCCUUGGAUAUAAUUCUUUCUUUCCAGGUUAAAGAAGGGCUGCAGCUAAUACGUAUCCUGAGUCAUAAUGUGGAUUUGCACCUUUCUUGUUAAAUAUAUCUGGUUUGUGUCCAAACCGUUGCUUCUAUUCCUAAUGGUCACUUAUAUUGUUACAACUUCAACAUUAACUGCAGGUGUGGAAUACCAACUGAUCCACACUCCCCUUGCUGUCAGCAGGAGACUAAUGUGUGUCAAAGGCCUGAUUCUCAGAGGUAAGGUCACUGCUUUGCUAAAUACAAAAAUCUGGAGAUUUGCAAAGCUCCUAUACGCACAAAAUGGGAUGAGUUCACUGAGGUCCAUGCAUGUUUGUGUUUCUUAUUUAGUGGGCAGCUCACAGAAUUUUCCCUCUGUACAAAAUGUUUGCUGUUUUACAACAGGCAGCAUCUCGUUUGUCUUCAGAGGAGGGCACUUGCAUGUUCUGUUUUAAUAAGGGAAAAGACUACACUUCUCCAUGUCCUGUGAUAUGAGAGAAGUCAGGAUACCAAGAAGUAAAAAAAAAAAAGAAAAGGAGCCUGAUACAUUAAGCAGCUUCAGAAAUCUGCUAAUAUUCACUGUGUCCCAGCUUGGACUGUGCAAAUGUUGCUAUCAGGAGACUGCCCGAUCAGAGCUCCUGGAGCCUACCUUACACAGAGGCAUCCAAGUUUGGUUUUGAGGGUUGCAAGAGAAUCACUCAAAUAUUUCUACUUCCUUCUGUUAGUGGUUAUUUUUCCCACCUCAGAAAAAGUCUUCAAAUUGUAAUGUGUUUGCACUUGAUGCCUCGAUGUUCUUGCCUGGUGACCUUUAACGUACAGUAUUUUCAGCCUUUUACAUGAGAUCAAAACUAAUCAUAUACCUAUAUAUGGCUAUUUCUUUCUUUAUUUCUGCUAAUUUAAAUAUCCUUCAACAUCUGCAAUAAAGAUUCCCUCGAGUAAUUUACACAGACUAUUUCUUUGUCUUCAUGUAUGGUAAAUAUUUGGCCGUUUAAUAUCGUCUGGUUACGACAUCAUGAUAUUGGUUAUUCUGAACUUCUGUUUUAAACACACGUAUCCAAGCAUUAUUCACCAUUAGGCAUUAUACUUUUCCUCCUUCAGCUGACUAGUCCUAAAGUUUUUUGGGAUAGUGGAACCAAAAUUGAUCUUAAUAUCCAAAAUAAGAAAAAAGGGAAUUGGUCAUCAGCUAUAAGUUUCAUUACAUGCGGUUGAAACUCUCUACCUUCAUACUGACUUAAUUUGAAUUAAAACCAAGUGAUUUUAAAACCCUGUGGCAUACUGGGGAAAGUCAUGAGCAGAACACAUAGGUCAAAGCAUUUUUCAUGAACAUUGAGAUCCCAACCUUGAGACUACGCAUGUAUCAUGUAGGCAAGGUGUAAGAAUAUGCACGUGAAUAUUUCUGUCUACCACUUAUGCGCACUGAGACAAUAUCAGAUCACACUUUCUCCUGUCAUUGGUCCCUUUCCAUGAAGGAUAUUCUUAAUUACCAGUAAGAUUACCAGAUGUUUGGUAAUAUCACGUGAAGUGUGGUAGCAUCGUUUCUGUGAUUUACACCUGCUAAGGAUUUGAUAAUUGAAUUUUAAAUCAUGUUUUAAGUUCAGAAGAUAGAAAAUAUUUUUUCUUUUAUUAGAAAUACCCCAUUUUUAAAAUUUAUUAGCACAGUUCUUUGAAAUGAUACAGAGCCUUUGCACACAGACACUUUUUUUUUUUCUCACAUUUGUCCUGCCCUGAAAAAUUUAGAGUACACUUCUAUAAUGGCUUAAAUCGACUUAAGUCUAAAUGCCCAAAUGCUAUUUUUGACAACUGUGCGUGAGGGACGUACCUUUACAGGGAUUCUAAAGAAUAUAAAACUAAAAAUACCUCAGUUAUAGAGCGAAUUCACUUUAUCCUUUCCUUCACUUUGUGAUUAUGGUUAUAUAUAUUUUUUAACCCUUGCAGGUUCAAUGCUAGAUUGGAAAUGAUGGAAAUGAUUCCAUUGAAUCCAACAAACUCUGCUUUCUACUGGAUUAAGAUGUUUGUACAUCAGGUUUGCUGGAGACAUCCCUCUUAUGAAAUGGGGAAUUAUGUUAUAAGUAUGUUAGGAAGGAUAAGUGCCCAAUAGAAAAUAAGUCAGAUAGAAAUUCAGAAAUGACAGACUACUUGUAACAGAAAUAAAACAACUUUUCCUAAGUCAUCUAUAGAAGCCCUGCAGCUCAUGGGAGUUUUGAUAACGGUUGUGAUAAAAACACUGCAUCUGAUGAUAAAAAUUACCUACUUUGGGAAGGAUUUUUGCUCUUCAAAUUACUUUUCUGAGGUUUUAUUUCAUUUUCAAGAUAUUUUCUUAUCCUUCUCAUUUUUCAUUUCUAAUAGAAAACCAAGAGUUCUUAUCAAUUAAGAAGAGAAAUAAAACUAAAGAAAAUUCAGGCAGAACUGUAAAGCAUGGUCUAUUUUAAAGUUCCAACUCAGAUAAUAAGAGUGUUUUGUGCUGUACUUCCCUCAUGAACUCAGCGUUUCAUAGUGCAUUCAGUGUUGUAAUAAUGCAAAUCAAAUACAAUUUUAAUAACUCCUUCCAUUAAAAUGAUCUAUUAAUGUUUUAAGACUCCAACACUUACGAGCAUGAUUCUAAUUGCAUGAUUUUGCUGCAGGCAGGUUUAUAGAUCUGCCUGAUCUUCAGAUAUUCGCAUCGUUAGGAUUAUUUUAAAUAAAUUAAUUUUGGAAGUGUUCCAGUCUCGGUAACAACCAUUGAGCUUAAUACUGGUUGUCUUGUGGGUAGUUGUAUGUAUCUGCUUCCAUGCGAGGAAAAACUAGAUCAGUUUAGAAUUCUUUGAAAUGAGAUGGCUGAAGUCUAUAUGAUGAUAAAUAUUAUUAAGUAUGUUCUGAAGAGGGGAAUAUUUGUUCACAAAGUUAGAAUGAGGAGCAAAAGAGGUUUGAAGUGAGCAAAAUUUUAAGUUUGUCAUGCAGCACGAUUAAAACUUGGGAUUUUCUACCACAGAAUACCAAAAAUAUAAUCAAAUUGAAAAAGGUCUAGAAAUUCAUGGAAGAUAGUUUCUUUGAUACCAUUAAACAUUGUUGUUUCAUGCAGCUUCUAUUGUCUUUCUCUGUGAUGAACCAAGUGAUAGGAACAAGGAAAAUACAUCAAGAGGAGAACUACUUUGUGUUUAAUUGCUAACAUUUUUCUGUAUCUGUCAGGGAUUUGUGCUACAGACAGGGCGAGGGAUUGCCUGGAACUUUGGUCUAACUGAGCACAGCUACUUCUAGGCAAGAGAAACAGUUAUUUCAAAGCUUGUUCCUCUCCCUAGAAAACUGUGAAAAACUUCAAGGUUGUGCAGAGUGAGAUGAGGGAAAUGAACAGGUCUGGCCUUGGGAUGAAGAUAAGGAGAGCAGAAAGAGUGGCAGAGAAAGCAUUUGCUGAGUGGCUUGUGAGGGCCCUUACCUUGAUGCGGUCCCCAGGCUUUAUCUCUAGUGGCAGGCUCUUGGCCAUCGGCAUGCUGGCUCUCCUCCUUGUAUGUGCUGUUCUUCCCUUUGAGCAUCACUUGAGAACCACAGUAGAAGGUUCCCUCCUUCAAGAUGAACAGAAACAUCAACACAAUCUUGCGCUCUUGAUUCGAUAUAUCUUCUGUAGAGAAUUUACUCCAACUUUUGUUCAUGACAAAUAUCUACAUAAGCCUUGAACAAAUCAGCAUUAAAACUAGAAGUUGUCAUUUUCUUUGGGGGUUAAAAAAUUAGUAUUUACUGAAUGAUGCUAAUUGUAUUCUGAGAAGUGAUUCCUCACCUGCGAAAAAUAACUUACUUUAGCAAAUAUGGUUUUACCCAUUCCAACAGUGGUAGUUCUGCCUGUUUGGUGAAUUCUGCAUCUGGCAUGACACAAAAGAAGAAAAUUUUCUCUGAUUUAUCAAGUAUGCGUUUUCUUUGAGCAUGGAAUUCUAAUAGACUUGCUAUGGAGUUUACACACUGACAAAGAAACAGUGUAUGAGCUGUGUAAAACCCAUGACAAAUUUUUGCUUUAAUGGAAACACUUUAGAUCAAUCCUAUUGGAGAGGAAUGGAAAGGACAACAGGACAUACAUACACAGGCCUCAAGAAAUAAAAGCUUUUACAGGAACUCAGAAAUAUGGAUAAUUUCAGUAAUAUUUGAAAUUUUCAUCACUGAAUCAACUCAGAGCAUGAAGUUCUGAAUAAUUCCUACUCAGAAGCCAUCCCAAAGAAGAACACCCUGAGAUACUGAAUUGAUGACACAAUUGGAUUAGUCUGGGGUUUUCCAUGAAAACUCUAUACUGGAAAUGCCAAAUAGACAAAAAAGUUUGGAGGAAUAAUGCGGUUUUCAUGAGGCUUCUCAACUAAAAAAAGGAUGUUAAAGAUAUUUCAAAAUGGUUGCAAGUGUCCCAAGAGAAAUUUUUC